AUUGAACGCUGGCGGCAGGCCUAACACAUGCAAGUCGAGCGGAGCGGCGGAAGGGUGAGUAAUGCCUAGGAAUCUGCCUGGUAGUGGGGGAUAACGUCCGGAAACGGGCGCUAAUACCGCAUACUCUCAGAUGAGCCUAGUUCGGAUUGGGUAGUUGGUGGGUUAAUGGCCUACAAAGGCGACGAUCCGUAGCUGGUCUGAGAGGAUGAUCAGUCACACUGGAACUGAGACACGGUCCAGACUCCUACGGGAGGCAGCAGUGGGGAAUAUUGGACAAUGGGCGCAAGCCUGAUGCAGCCAUGCCGCGUGUGUGAAGAAGGUCUUCGGAUUGUAAAGCACUUUAAGUGGGGAGGCGUUACCCGCAGAAUAAGCACCGGCUAACUUCGUGCCAGCAGCCGCGGUAAUUC
rnacentral:rRNA from 1 species